rnacentral:ncRNA from 22 species
AAAAUAUAUAGUUUUACAGGUGCCAACAAUUUGUUGGAGAAUAGGGAACCGGGUGAAAUUCCCGGACGGACCCGCCACUGUAUUGGGGAGCAAUUGUCAUUACCACUCCUAUGGGGGGAAGGGACAAAUUUGCAAUGAGCCUGAGUCAGGAGACCUGCCUGUAGAAGAAUACGUUGC